AGCCUUUCUCCCUGGACAGGGGUAGGGAAAGGAGUGCUGGAUUCGGAGCUCCUCCGUCCCUGCGCCGCCUCAUUUUCUCCUUGGGGUCUGGCGCACAGUGGCCAUUGCAAUACACCCUAAAGACUGAAGGAGCCAGCGCAGAGCCAGGAUCCUCCUGUGAGCCAUGGCCCUGGCUGCCCUGCUUAGCCUCUCGGAACCUGGGCCAUCAGGGGUGGUGUCAGAAGUGGGGUUGGAAGUAGAGCUUCUAAUGACCCCCAGAAGUGCUGAGUGACCUAGCGAGGUACCCUCCAGGCCCAUUGUGUCUCUUUCUCUCUCGGAGCAGCUGGGGAUCGUGUGUAUUUUCACCAGGUAAAGAAAGCUUUUUAUGGUUCACUGACUGAGGACAAUCAACCCCUUCACAAUCUAGAACCUGAAGAUUGGAUCUUCUGAGAACAUCAGAGAAAGACUGCCCUUGCCAUCCACACUGCAGUAAACAUCAGAACCGUGAACUUUGGCUUCAUGAUCUCACAACUGAGAAGGAUCCCUCCACAUUCUUGGAAAUAUACACCCAUUGGAACCCGUAAGCAGACCAUGUGUCAACGUAUGCAGAGUUUGUGCAGACACACAGACCCUCUGGGGAGUAUAUGUUUGAAUCUGAUGAAGAUGAGCAGUUAUUUGUGCACCUGGACAAGAAGGAGAUGGUCUGGCAUCUGUGAGAGUUUAUUCACACUGUGUCAAACUUUCUCAGUCAGAAGUUGACAUAAGGAAGUCACCAGCUUCGGUCUCCUUUAAAUCUCCAGGCCUAACUUUCUUUUGAAUCUCUGCUCUUCAACCACAAUGACUUAUGUACCCCAAGACCCCUCUACCUCCUGGCUGCCUAUGAUCCUCCUGCACCUAGCACUCAGCAAAGGGUCUGACAUUUAGAUAGCACUCAAUCAAUAUGAAGAAUUUAAAGUGUAGUGACAAGGUGGUGCCCACACUGGAUGGUCUGUAUGCUGUGGUCUCAUCAGGGACCUUUCUCUGCACUGCAUUUUUCCUGAGAAAUCCCAGAGUUCAAUAAAUACCUGUGUAUGUCAGAGCUAGA